AAACACUAAGAAAACCUUCCUAAUAUUGAGUUGCACAACCUCAUUUUGCUUUCAGAACAGACUCAAUUUGUCAGGGCAUGGACUCUACAAGGUGUCGAAAGCGUUCAACAGGGAUGCUGGCCCAUGUUGACUCCAAUGCUUCCCACAGUUGUGUCAAGUUGACUGGAUGUCCUUUGGGUGCUGGAACAUUCUUGAUACACACGGGAAACUGUUGAGCAUGAAAAACCCAGCAGCGUAGCAGUUCUUGACACACUCAAACCGGUGCACCUGGCACCUACUACCAUAUCCCGUUCAAAGGCACUUCAAUCUUUUGCCUUGACCAUUCACCCUCUAAAUGGCACACACAGAAUACAUGUCUCAAUUGUCUCAAGGCUUAAAACUCCUCCCCUUCAUCUACACUGAUUGAAGUGGAUUUAAUAAGUGACAUCAAUAAGGGUUCAUAGAUUUCACCUGGUCAGUCUAUGUUAUAGAAUGUUUUGUCCACUCAGUGUAUAUAGCCAUGCUGAUCCCUGUGACAUGUUCAACCAAUUACAAAGGCCGCUGUGUAUAACCCAUCUUGGGAGCAGUAUUAACCAGUGCCUUAUGUCCUCCACUCCCUCCUCAGUGGCCUCUCCUACCCCUGUGCCUGUCCACAGUGUGGGGGCAAGGCUGCACGGGUCAUGGGCGUCUGGGGGCUCAGACCCCCCAGAGGAGUGUAUGGUCUCAACGCUGGAGCGGCAGCAUAUGGCCUCCUGGAGCGGCAGAUCCUCCAACAUGGCCACUCUGGGCAGGACACGCCACAGAGCUGCGGCUGGGGCUGGCACAGACCACCCACACAACAUCCACCCGCCUCCCAACAGCACCGAGCACAGCUAUGGAGAACGAUAGUCUUUGUGAUGAGUCGGACCCUCCAGUGCUGCCUGUCCCAGGACACCUUGUCUAUAAGUGCAAUGAGAUUUCCCCUCUGCGAAUGCUACAGGAUGGAAUAUAAGGAGAAGGCUGGAAGAUGAGAGGGAGUGAGAGAGAAACGCAGAGCUGUAAAUGUGAUGUACAGACACACAGACACACGUCUCAGUGUUCUUUUUACAGUGUUACUUUCAUCCCUCCUCCCAAAAGAAUAUACUGUAUAUCACAUGCCCCUCCUAUUUCAUGUCACAUGAUGUACAGUAACUCACUCUACAUUCAUGAAAAAUAAAAAUCCCUACAGUUAAGCUAUUGACUUAUGAAAGUGAAAGGACUUGCAUUUCCUGUAAAUAGGUUUUGUAUUUUCAGUUUUACAUUUUUUUUCUUUGCUAUGCAAGCCAAAUUCUGACAUUGAAGUUGUCUCGUUUACUUGUCAUUUUACAUUGUGAGUUGGACUGUGGUGCCACAUUUGUUUUUCAUAAAUGCUAGAAAUAUUGCUUAAUUUUGAUGAAACUACUGUAUUGUUGUUUACUUUGCACAGAGCGUUUUGUGAUGAUAAGCACAAAGUCAUCAGCUGAGGCUCAGAGAAGAAUGAUGAAGAGGAGUGUCUAUAAUAUACCUUACAUUUAAGAAAUAUAAUAUAUGACACAGUAAAUGCUUUUCAGAGACAGAUGUAUUGAGAGAUAUAAGAACCACAAAGAAAUUCAGAAAUUAAAAAGACGCCCACAUAGAAAAUGUUAUGAUGUUUUGUUUUUCAAUCUGCAGUGGUCCGUGGGGAUGAUGCGGCAGAUGUGCAAUGUUGCCCAUACACUAUAUGCCCAUUACAGUGAGACAGCAGUACUUGGAACCCUCCAAAUAAUGACAGUUCAGAAUAAUCAAUAAAGUUAAACCAUCUAUGUGUAACAUUUCAAAAGGAGCUGUUAAUGCAGAGGCAGAGGACAAUAGCUAGUUGUUGAUAGGGAGGUGUUGGGCACAUAGAGCACCACUCAGGUGUGGUCAGGUGUGGACAGCUGUGUGCACAGAUGGACUCUGUCAGUGUUACCCAUGGGGACAGAGUGAUAACACAGUGAGACAGGUCUUAAGAUGAAGAGAUGUUGGCCUUUAGAAAUCUAGCUAAUCCAGGACUGGGUUUCCAGAGCUCUGAGUGACUAGCAAGCAUGAUUAACAACAAUAUGCAAUUAGAUUAUAAUAAUAGACCCAUCAUAGAUGCGAUGGCCGUCUGUUUUAAUCCUACUGGUGCAGUAUAAUGUGGUCCCUUUAUCACCCUGGUAACAGACUGGUAACAGAUGAAUGCUCAUCAGGACACGUAUGGUUACCUAGGCAUAGUGAGCCCCUUGCCAAGUGAGGAUAUCCUUAACACUGUAACCAGUCACGGAGCAGCUGGUUGCUAGUUUUUGCCUACGAGAUUCAUAAUGCCGUGUUUUGAUUCCCUUCUUUGUAUGGUUCUUUUCCGGUUGUUCUUUGUAUUGGUUCCACCUGUAAAAACUCUGUACUUGCCAGAGUCCGGUCUGCCCUCAGGAAUACACGGACAGUGUGGCCAAUCCUACGAUACAAAUAAAACGUGGAUGUGGAAUCAACCAUGAGUCUCUGUGCUAUGCAUGUGAGUUGAUGGUCCAAGAUGUUCUCCUCAUAUGAUAAAUGUUCAUGCAGAUUUUCUUAAUACUGAUUUUCCCAUUAGGACAUUAUGUGCAUACACUUAUAAGCUCCACAUUAGCAUAAUGCACACACUUUUAACAGGAUCAGAGAUUAGUUACAUAUGAAUAAGAACAAUACUCGGUCUCCCUCUCUCAAGCGUCUCCGUGUUAAAUCGGUCUUAGUCAGAGCUAAUGGGAAAAUAAAAUAAUUAUUACUCCAUUUUUUUACUCCGUUUUUAUGCAUCCAUCCCUUCACUCUCUUUUUUCCUACACCAGAACACAUUUACUCACUGGAGGAAAAGAAAAUAUUGAACAGAACUCUAACAUCUGCGAUUUGGGGAUUUCAUGAUACAACGAAAGAUGACGAUGAUGAUUCUCUCCUUUAUUCCAGUUAUUUUCCAUCAUCUUUAUGGGAUUUUGAAGAUGCAUGUGAAUUCAGUGGUGAUUACAUUUCAGACACGUUUGUCGUUAGCAGUCUACAUACUGUAGCUUAUUUACUGCAUUUAAGAAAUGCAAUUGCAUUGAUUUAUAGAGUUAUGGUGGCUUUUCCUGGGGCAUCCAUGCCUUUCAACUCCAUUUGUCAUAUCACGUACUGUACACUCUACACCUAAUGAAUCACAACUGCUACAUGAGAUCACAUUACUACUACAACUAUCCAAAUCACUGUUGCAUACUGCAUUGGCUCCAGCCUCUGUCACAUACGGUACAUCUCUCAUCUCUCUGGGCUAAGCCUGGCUGUUCUUACUGGCCAAACACAGAGGAACAGGACACAACAUAAAGACAGAAAUGGAAGCUGUAACGUAUUCUACCCCGCAUCCUUUCCAUUACAUUUCUGUAAUAUUACCCUUCUUUACACCCAUUGCAAUAACGAUUAACCUUAUCAGCUUAGUCAUCCAUCAUGUGUAACACCUUUCCUCUAUUCAGUGUUGCCAUUCCGUGUGUGGACAAAACCUUUGAAAUGGUUCUGUAGAGCUGUGGCCUCGGAGCUAGAACAGCUCAUCUAUGAGUCAUGAAAUUUGGUUACCGUAAUUUCCGGACUAUUAAGCGCACCAGAAUAUAACCCGCACCCACUGAAUUUUUUUUAUUUUAUUUUUUUUACAUAAAUAAGCCGCACAUGUCUAUAAGCCGCAGGUGCCUACCGGUACAUUGAAACAAAUUAACUUUACACAGGCUUUAACGAAACACGGCUUGUGUUACAGUGUAGGUUCCGUCCCUCUCCUAACAAACUAGCCAUUUCACAUCGGUUACACUUGUAACAAAAAUAAAUAGGCUUUAACGAAACACGGCUUGUAACAAAAAUAAAUAGGCUUCAACCCUUUCACGCGUGAGAUCCAAAUAUCUCUAACGGUUGCCUCAGCGUGAGUUUUUUUAUGCAUCUGAUGUUCGAACGUUCUCUCCAUUCCAGGAUGUGAUUGUUACAUAAACAACAACACUGAAUGGCUCAGAGUGGGAGUGAGAGGUUACCGUGAUUGACUGCCUGCACGGGCCAUUUGUAUCAAUAAAUCACUAUCAGAAAAUGGUUUGUGUGGUAUUAUUGAUAUAUUUAGUAUUUUAUUCACGUUUUUCAAUUACUCGGGAUAAAUCGUGAUUUUUGCAUAAAUUGUAAUGGGCGCAUAGUAUGUGUGUAAAAUAAUGUUUUGAAGGUUGUACUGAUUAUGAUGAGCUAAGCUAAUUCCAGCUAUGUGUAUGUUUGUUGACAUACAAUGCAUUCUGGGUUUCACGUAAUCAUCCGUUUGACCAAAGAUGUUAUAACAAAAUGAGGUGAGUAAGAGUUCACUCAUUUUUUGAGGACUUCUGCAAAUGAAUGGUGGGAUGUGAACGACAGUAGAUGACACACCCCUUCAACAUGCAUACUGUAAACAGACCAAACUCAUCUUGUCUUCUCUUAUUAUCUUCGGUUUCUGUGAGGAAAAAAUGCAUGGCUGCGCGCUGAAACUAAUCGACUGAUUACUUUCAAUUUCUAGAAAAUGUUGUACCUAAUUAUUUAGAUCAAUGGUGAGCUCACUCGUGAUGUGAUUAAUUAUACAUAGUAAUUGCUAUUAGCUAAUUCAUGGUAUAGUUUACGUCAGCCGAGAGUUAGAAAAUAUGACUGCUUGUGUUGGGUCAAUCUUUCCUCAGUUAGCUCUAGGACAAAUGUAGCCUACAUUUUUCCGGUUAGGAUGAUUGUGUUAUGCUAUAGAUACUUCUGUGAAUAUCUGAACAUUGCAUCCAAAAAUAAACUGCUCACAUUCUGGACAUAACUUUGUAAGGACUGUGUGUAAAUAGUUUCUGAAAAAAGUGUGGCCAGCUCAAAUGCUGAUUGUUGCGUCAUUCGAAACUGGCCGUUCUAAAUUUGUGUUCUAAUCACACUGGGUGUGAUGUACGCUUCAGGGACCACUGUAGAACGAUCACACCCCGUGUGAUGGUAUGUGUGAAAGGGUUUACGAAACACGGCUUGUAACAAAAAUUUAAAAUUAGCAGUAAGCUUUAGUUGUCUUUUUGCACUGAGUCAAUUCCUCACGCUGCUGUUUCCAACGUCUUAUCAUCGACUCAUUAAGACCAAGCUCCCGUGCAGCAGCUCUAUUUCCUUUUCCAACAGCCAGAUCAAUCGCCUUCAACUUGAAAGCUGCAUCAUAUGCAUUUCUUCGUGUCUUUGCCAUGAUGAGGGUGACAAAAUG
rnacentral:lncRNA from 8 species